AGCGGCGUACGGGUGCGGAACACGUGUGCAACCUUGCCUUUAUCUGGGGGAUAGCCUUUCGAAAAGGAAGGAUUAAUACCCCAUAAUAUGUUGGAAUUGGCAUCAUUCGAGCAUUGAAAACUCCGGUGGAUAGAGAUGGGCACGCGCAAGAUUAGAUAGUUGGUGAGGUAACGGCUCACCAAGUCUACGAUCUUUAGGGGGGCCUGAGAAGGGUGAUCCCCCAAAAUUGGUUCNNUUGGAAACCGGGACCCAAAAUNCCUUAACGGGGAAAGGGCAAAGCAAUUAAGGAAUUUUUUGGGCCCAUGGGUUGAAAAGCUUGAUAUCCAGAGCCAUAUCCNGUUGAAAGGACANGAAUGGCCNUAUAUGGUUGGUAACUUCCUUUGGUAUAUAAGGGAUAUAAAACUUAACCUUCGUUGAAGGUUAANUUGAAGGGUAAUUAUAUAAGAAUUAAAGCAACCGGGUUAAAUUCCGGUUNGCCAAGCAAGCCGGGGGGUAAUUCGGAAGGGUUGCAAGGCGUUAAUUCGCGGAAUUUAAUGGGGGGUUUAAAGGGGGGGUNUCGCGUAAAGGCGCGGAAACUCGUUGUUAAAUUUCCCAUGGGUU
rnacentral:rRNA from 1 species